UACAGAGGGUGCGAGCGUUGUUCGGAAUUAUUGGGCGUAAAGGGCGCGUAGGCGGUGCGGUAAGUCACCUGUGAAAUCUCCUGGCUCAACUGGGAGCUUGCAGGCGAAACUGCCGUGCUGGAGUGUGGGAGAGGUGAGUGGAAUUCCCGGUGUAGCGGUGAAAUGCGUAGAUAUCGUCAGGAACGCCAAUGGUGAAGACAGGUAACUGGGCUAGUUCUGACACUGAGGCACGAAAGCGUGGGGAGCGAACGGG
rnacentral:rRNA from 1 species